UACGUAGGGUGCAAGCGUUAAUCGGAAUUACUGGGCGUAAAGCGUGCGCAGGCGGUUUUGUAAGUCUGUCGUGAAAAUCCCCGGGCUCAACCUGGGAAUUGCGAUGGAGACUGCAAGGCUGGAGUCUGGCAGAGGGGGGGGUAGAAUUCCACGUGUAGCAGUGAAAUGCGUAGAGAUGUGGAGGAACACCGAUGGCGAAGGCAGCCCCCUGGGUCAAGACUGACGCUCAUGCACGAAAGCGUGGGGAGCAAACAGG
rnacentral:rRNA from 1 species